rnacentral:rRNA from 1 species
GACGAACGCUGGCGGCGUGCCUAAUACAUGCAAGUUGAGCGCUGAAGGUUGGUACUUGUACCAACUGGAUGAGCAGCGAACGGGUGAGUAACGCGUGGGGAAUCUGCCUUUGAGCGGGGGACAACAUUUGGAAACGAAUGCUAAUACCGCAUAAAAACUUUAAACACAAGUUUUAAGUUUGAAAGAUGCAAUUGCAUCACUCAAAGAUGAUCCCGCGUUGUAUUAGCUAGUUGGUGAGGUAAAGGCUCACCAAGGCGAUGAUACAUAGCCGACCUGAGAGGGGGAUCGGCCACAUUGGGACUGAGACACGGCCCAAACUCCUACGGGAGGCAGCAGUAGGGAAUCUUCGGCAAUGGACGAAAGUCUGACCGAGCAACGCCGCGUGAGUGAAGAAGGUUUUCGGGUCGUAAAACUCUGUUGGUAGAGAAGAACGUUGGUGAGAGUGGAAAGCUCAUCAAGUGACGGUAACUACCCAGAAAGGGACGGCUAACUACGUG